rnacentral:piRNA from 1 species
UGAGGGUGAAGAUGCAAAUACCUGCC